rnacentral:rRNA from 1 species
UACGUAGGGUGCAAGCGUUGUCCGGAAUUAUUGGGCGUAAAGAGCUCGUAGGCGGUUUGUUGCGUCGGCUGUGAAAUCCCGAGGCUCAACCUCGGGUCUGCAGUCGAUACGAGCAAACUAGAGUGUUGCAGGGGAGACUGGAAUUCCUGGUGUAGCGGUGAAAUGCGCAGAUAUCAGGAGGAACACCGGUGGCGAAGGCGGUUCUCUGGGCAUUACCUGACGCUGAGGAGCGAAAGUGUGGGGGAGCGAACAGGG